AUGCUGGAUGUGGGGCCCGUUCCACGGGUUCCGUGUCGGAGCUAACGCGUUAAGCAUCCCGCCUGGGGAGUACGGCCGCAAGGCUAAAACUCAAAGAAAUUGACGGGGGCCCGCACAAGCGGCGGAGCAUGCGGAUUAAUUCGAUGCAACGCGAAGAACCUUACCUGGGCUUGACAUGUUCCCGACGGUCGUAGAGAUGCGGCUUCCCUUCGGGGCGGGUUCACAGGUGGUGCAUGGUCGUCGUCAGCUCGUGUCGUGAGAUGUUGGGUUAAGUCCCGCAACGAGCGCAACCCUCGCCCCGUGUUGCCAGCGGAUUAUGCCGGGAACUCACGGGGGACCGCCGGGGUUAACUCGGAGGAAGGUGGGGAUGACGUCAGAUCAUCAUGCCCCUUACGUCCAGGGCUUCACGCAUGCUACAAUGGCUGGUACAACGGGAUGCGACGCGGUGACGCGGAGCGGAUCCCUGAAAACCGGUCUCAGUUCGGAUCGCAGUCUGCAACUCGACUGCGUGAAGGCGGAGUCGCUAGUAAUCGCGAAUCAGCAACGUCGCGGUGAAUGCGUUCCCGGGCCUUGUACACACCGCCCGUCAAGUCAUGAAAGUGGGCAGCACCCGAAGCCGGUGGCCUAACCCCUUGUGGGAUGGAGCCGUCUAAGGUGAGGCUCGUGAUUGGGACUAAGUCGUAACAAGGUAGCCGUACCGGAAGGUGCGGCUG
rnacentral:rRNA from 1 species